rfam:Camelus ferus unplaced genomic scaffold scaffold803, whole genome shotgun sequence.
GGGUGUAUAGCUCAGUGGUUGAGUGCAUGCCUGGCAUGCAUGAGGUCCUGGGUUCAAUCCCCAGUGCUUCCA